GAUGAACGCUGGCGGCGUGCCUAAUACAUGCAAGUCGAGCGAACAGACGAGGAGCUUGCUCCUCUGACGUUAGCGGCGGACGGGUGAGUAACACGUGGAUAACCUACCUAUAAGACUGGGAUAACUUCGGGAAACCGGAGCUAAUACCGGAUAAUAUAUUGAACCGCAUGGUUCAAUAGUGAAAGACGGUUUUGCUGUCACUUAUAGAUGGAUCCGCGCCGCAUUAGCUAGUUGGUAAGGUAACGGCUUACCAAGGCAACGAUGCGUAGCCGACCUGGGAGGGUGAUCGGCCACACUGGAACUGAGACACGGUCCAGACUCCUACGGGAGGCAGCAGUAGGGAAUCUUCCGCAAUGGGCGAAAGCCUGACGGAGCAACGCCGCGUGAGUGAUGAAGGUCUUCGGAUCGUAAAACUCUGUCAUUAGGGAAGAACAAAUGUGUAAGUAACUAUGCACGUCUUGACGGUACCUAAUCAGAAAGCCACGGCUAACUACGUG
rnacentral:rRNA from 1 species